rnacentral:SRP_RNA from 1 species
UUGUGCUAGGCGGGGAACUAGCGGUGCCCUGUACCCGCAAUCCGCUUUAGCGGGGCUGAAUGCCCGCCCGAGGACUCGCUGCUACGGAAACUGCGAUCGCUGGAGGCGUUGAGAACCUGGUCCUGCGCGGCGAUGCCCGGCUAAUCCCGUCAGGUCCGGAAGGAAGCAGCGGUACGUCGGUCUCAUCGGGUGCCGUAGGGUCGCCGGGUUUGAGUCGACCGGCGGGAGUAAGACCGUGACACGGUUCGACGGCGGGGCACGA